rnacentral:rRNA from 1 species
CACGUCUAAGCAGUAAGGCUGAGUAUUAGGCAAAUCCGGUACUCGUUAAGGCUGAGCUGUGAUGGGGAGAAGACAUUGUGUCUUCGAGUCGUUGAUUUCACACUGCCGAGAAAAGCCUCUAGAUAGAAAAUAGGUGCCCGUACCGCAAACCGACACAGGUAGUCAAGAUGAGAAUUCUAAGGUGAGCGAGCGAACUCUCGUUAAGGAACUCGGCAAAAUGACCCCGUAACUUCGGGAGAAGGGGUGCUCUUUAGGGUUAACGCCCAGAAGAGCCGCAGUGAAUAGGCCCAAGCGACUGUUUAUCAAAAACACAGGUCUCUGCUAAACCGUAAGGUGAUGUAUAGGGGCUGACGCCUGCCCGGUGCUGGAAGGUUAAGAGGAGUGGUUAGCUUCUGCGAAGCUACGAAUCGAAGCCCCAGUAAACGGC